UGUUUAGAUCACUGUGCGUUUAUUCACUGUCUCUGUCUGGUCUUUUCUUUUUAUAAUAGCAAACAGCAUAGCACAGUGGACAUGUGUGCAAAUGAUAGUACUGAUCUGGUCCCUAAGUGCUAGCUGAGGGCAUGGUUCGACAUCAACGCUUCACACAGCAACUGAAAUAGAAAAGUGAUGACUGAGUUGUGGGAGUGGGUUUCCCCUCCAUCCUCCCCACCACCACCAGGUUUGUCCUGUCCAUUGUCUGGGGGUAGGCUCCGCCAUUUUCAUCAUCAGGCAGGACCUACCAGCAUACUGCUUGACCUGGAUGAAGGACAGGGCCUACGCCAAAGAACUUCUUGACGCGACUU